rnacentral:hammerhead_ribozyme from 1 species
ACCUAACUGACGAGUCCCAAAUAGGACGAAACGUGAAUCUUGGAU